GUAGGUGAACCUGCGGAGGGAUCAUUAACACGUGUAAAAACGUAUUUUAAAAAACCCUAACCUAACAAACCAAUACCGUGAACUAUGUUAUAAUAUAUUUAUUAUUAUUAUACCUUUUUUUUUAUCUUUUAUGUUUUACUAGUAACAUAGUAACUCAUGAUAGUUGAAAAAAAACAAACCCUUUUCCAACCUUUAUUUUUUUCUAUCUGUUUGUUAUAUAUAUGUUUCUUUAUUGAGACGUGUAUAUGAU
rnacentral:misc_RNA from 1 species